GAUGAACGCUGGCGGCGUGCCUAAUACAUGCAAGUCGAGCGAACAGACGAGGAGCUUGCUCCUCUGACGUUAGCGGCGGACGGGUGAGUAACACGUGGAUAACCUACCUAUAAGACGGGGAUAACUUCGGGAAACCGGAGAUAAUACCGGAUAAUAUAUUGAACCGCAGGGUUGAAUGGUGAAAGACGGUGUUGCGGUCACUUAUAGAUGGAUCCUCGCCGCAUUAGGUAGUUGGUAAGGUAACGGCUUUCCAAGGCAACGAUGCGUAGCCGACCUCAGAGGGUGAUCGCCCACCUGGGAGGUGGGCCGCGGUCCAGACUCCUGCGGGACGCCGCAGUAGGGUAUCUGCCGCAGUGGGCGAGAGCCUUACGGAGCAACGCCGCGUGAGUGAUGACGGUCUUCGGAUCGUAAUACUCUGUUAUUAGGGAAGAACAAAUGUGUAAGUAACUAUGCACGUCUUGACGGUACCUAAUCAGAAAGCCACGGCUAACUACGUG
rnacentral:rRNA from 1 species